UAGCGUUCAGAUUAACUGUUUGGGUCUGCAGGCUUUAAAGAGACAAAAAUACAGCCGAAAUAAGUAACAAGUGUUUCUCAUGGCAUGUAGUUACUUCCUACACAAGAGGACACCUUCAUGACUCAACAGACGUGAAGGAGGAAGGGGAGAAACUUCGGUGCUUACUUGAGAGCAAAGAGGCACCAAGUGACUUAGUGGAGCAGGUGUGUACAGUGUAAACUCGUGCCCACAAACCAAUAAAACUGCUUAUUGUUCACACAGGACUGCAGUCCACAUUACUCACCAAACAGCUUCCAGUACACACAGCGCUGUGUAAUGAUGUGACCCUCAAUCUUUCCAGCAGUACAAGUUGAAUUACCUUUGAAGCAGCUGUUUUAAUAAGCUUCAGAGAUGAUCAAAAAAGCCAAAACAACAAAUACACUUACCUAACACAAAAGAAAAUCUCAAACCUUCCCUGAGCACCACACUGACCUAGAAACAAGCAAACCAAACAAAAAGGCUACCGACUUCUACAUAUAAUUCCACUUUACUUUCCAUAAACAAGCCAACAAAUAUCUUAUACUGUUAUCAAGCAAACCUGCACAGAUCUAAGGUUUAAAAGACACAAAUGAUGGCCUGUUAGAAAUGGCAGCACAGAGCAGGCUGCAGCAGUUUAGAUUUCAAACCUGUGCUGAUCCUUCUCCUCCAAUCAUGAGGCUGCAAGUCUGAUGAACUGGCCAAUCAGAGGCAACAUCUGCAUCAGGAUCCAAUCAAACACACCCCAAUGGACACAACACACAGAAAACAGUAGCGAUUUAUGAAACAUAUGACACAUCACACUGUAUAUAUGAGGUUUGGUGACUUGGCCAGAACAAUGAAGUCAACAGUGUCCAACAUCUGCUUUAGAGGGCAGCAUUUACUCUCACUAGACUGAGCUAGUGUUGUGUCAUUUGCGAACGAUUUGUUCAAAAGAACUGAAUCUUUUAAGUGAAUGUACUGAACCAAAUCACUUCCUUGAGUGAUUCGUUCGUUUCUCACAUCAAUUGAGCUGAAGUGAGAAACAGGCCAGCAUUGCCAGGCCAGCAGCCAGCGAACGAGGAACUACAUGCACCAACGCCUGAAUCACUUGGUGAACGAAUCAAGCAUUGAACUACACUCUCUGGAAUCAUUUUGUCGGACAAGACUACCUUUUUUUUCACUACUAAGUUGCCACCACAACAACUUUCAUACAAUAGGACACAGCAUGUAACAAGUAGUGCAUAAAACCCGCAGCACCGUAUCAUUGCAGCGGUUUGCGAGGGAACGGUGCAUGUUCAGUGUGAAUUCUUCUAAAUGUUUAGUGAACGAAUCACUCACUGAGCCCAAUUUACCGAGAAGGUCUGAUAAACAGCAUACCAUAGGACAGUACACUCAAAACAUCAUGACUUGUAAACAUGUUCAUUUUUACAAACCUGUUUGUCAUAGCAACACAGCCAAACACUCUCGUCUCCUGGUCCUAAAAGCUAUGAAUUGAACUGAAUCCUGAACAUUCAGCUGUGUAUCAGUUCAGGAGGUUGGAGUCACAGGCUUCUCAUGCUAAAUGAUUCAGUGAUUUGGUGAACGAAUCUUUUGAAUGAAUCUUUUUAGUGAACCGAUUCUAGUGAUUCAGUACAUCUAAAAGAACUGCUGUGCCCAUUACUAGACUGAGCAUUUAUUACCUUAUUUGAUUUACAUCAGUAGACAAGUUGAAUCAAUACUUGUACUUGUUUUUUAGAAAGUAAUGUGUGGACUCCAGCACCUCUCAUGAUCACUCUUACACACAUUUACACAGAUUGUGAGAGCUGCUGUGCAACUUUGCCAACCUGCUCUCUGGGAUCUAAUCUCACUCAGUCAAACUCACACUGAUGGUGAUGCCUUUAGAUGUUCUUCACAAUCCAUCCUCUCUCCCAAGGACACAUGGACGUGAAAACUGCUGGAGCUGAAAAUCGAUUGUAUUUCACUUCAUCUCUUUGAGUGAUCACUUUGCAGCGCAGAUCACUUUUUUAUUGAGUUAUCUAUUUAACUCUUAAAGCAGGAGGAUGCAAGCUGAAGAUCUGAGGAUUAAUCAGUUUUAAAAUGUUGGACUUUGAGAGUUUAUUGUGACUUUUACGGUCUCUCUUAACUAAACAUAUUUAAUGGGACAGCCCGCCUCACUGCAGGCUUUCAAAGUCCGUUGGUGUAACAGACGAAGCACAUCGCAUCUCUGACAUAAUAUCCAGCGGUGAAUGGUACAUUGACUCCAUACACAGGAGAGUGAUAAAUACAACUUCCCUCCAAAAAAAAACAACAACAACAAGCCUUUCAAUUUUCUCCAUUUUCUCUCUCUCUGGUUUUCUUGUUUGUAUUUGAGUGAUUUGCAGUGUGGUCACGUAGCUGUCACCUGUGGCGUUUGGGGACCAUGAGAAAUACAAGCUACCUCUGGAAGCAGUUUGAUUUAGAUAUGCUGAUCCCAGUUGAAUUAGGACAGAGCAACAUUUUUCAUUUUAUUUGCACUGAUUUUAGUGAGGGGACAUGAAAACACAGGAUUCUGCUGAUCUACUUCAGGUGCAGGGUUUUUAUUCUGUUACAUAUAAAUUCAAUUAAUUUAUCAAAUACAUAUUCCUAAUUGGUUAAAAGAAAUUUAAGGCAACUCCAUUUGAUUCUAGAUCAAGACAGACUGGACUACCACCAUUUUCCAUAUGUGAGUGUCUACUUCAAAUCAACACAAGAUCCUGUUCUGCUGUUGACUGUUCCCACCUGACGUAUCUUAAGUGUUUUAUUUUGAGUUCAAAUCAGGUUUUGGUUAGACGUCACACCCGCCAGCCCGCCUCUGUGUGUGCCCUUGAAUAUCAAAGCCAUCUUUGGCGUCACAGGAAACGCUCACUAUAAAGGACCUUGUCUGUUCUGCAUACAGAUCAAUUUGUGGAUUAGGAAGCUCAAGUUGAUCUCAAUUAAGGAGAAGUCCUUCUUGUCCUCCUUGUCUUGUUACUGGAAGAGCAAUUGCCAGGAAACCAAAGAUAUGAAAGAAACCAUGUGUGACCCUGUGCGGUCAGCAAUCUGAUCUUUCUAGGAGAAAUGUAAGAAGAGAUAAAAGUCUUGACCUUGGUGUUUUUAUCUCUGACCUCUGGCUAAAGAUUUGUUGUUCGUGAAUGAUUCAUUCAAAAGAACAAAUCUUAUCAGUGAAUGUACUGAACUGAAUCACUUCCUCUGGUGAUUUGUGCGUUUCUCAGUUCAGUUGAGCUGUCAGCAAUGCAGCUGCCAUAGCACCGACAUGGGAGGGAGGGACGCUUCAAUCACUUGGUGAACGAGUCACUUAGUGAACUACACUCUCCAGGAUCAUUUUCGUCUGAGGGGUACACUUUCAUGGCGACCUUUGUUCCCUGUUUUUUUAGGAGAUUUAAUCCCCAAAUAAACAAACUUAAAAUGUAAGGCUGGCGGUAAUGAGAAGAGAGUGAGACUCACCAGCUGUAGCACGCUCUUGGCAGGGGUGACGGAGGGAGACAGGGGUGUGUUGAGAAAACCUGAACCGUUCAGCUGUGUAUCAGUUCAGGAAGUCGAAGUCGCAGGCUUCUCCCACCAAGCCCUGAAUGAUUUGGUGAUUCGGUGGUUGAAUCAUUUGAACGAAUCUUUUUAGUGAACUGAUUCUAGUGAUUCAGUACAUCUAAAUGAACUACCUCUGGCAACAACAGUGACUUGAUGGCUCCUUCCAAGCCUUAUAGGUAUACUGAAUUUUUGGUCAGAAGUUUGCUGUGUGAUUUGGUGUCAAGAUGUAACAAGAACUUCAACAAAACAUAACAAAGCAGCGAGGUUAUAGUAAGAAACAGCACUCCCUCAUUUGAGAGACACUUAGAGUCACUGUCAAAGGGAAAAAUGAGAAACCUUAUCCUGAGCAAGGAUCCAUAAAACAAGAUUUGUUGCUACAGAUUUGAUGCGGUUAAGAUACAAUGACGCCGUUUUAUCCUAAGCAUUCUGGUUUCCCAUUCCUGGUAGCUGUGAAAAAGAGACGUGCAGCCUACCUGGGAAACUUUGUAACGGCCACAGGGUAGAAUAUGAUAUAAAUUGGUGUUUUUUGAUGUUCAGUCUUUCACCAUCUCCCCUUACUACAAGGUAUCUCAACAUCUAACAGAAUGUAUUCCGCUGAUCUGAAGCCAUGCAGCAGCAGCCACAUUCAGGGGUAACAGGAGCAGCAGGAGCCAAUCACCUCGGGUGAGACGACCCUGCAUCCUCCCCAGGAUGGAGGGUGGCAGCAGACUGUUAUAUUCAACAGUGUAAUUACAGUCCUGCAUCAAUAGCCCGCUCCCCCGUGGAUUCUCCAGAGGUGCUUUUGUUUGGAGACUCCCACAUCUCUCUAAUGAUUCAGUGUUGCCCUGCAGCCUUGUUGACAUCCAUCUCAUACUGUUUCAAAAACAUCUCCCCCCUAGUCUUUACACAAAUGUCUUUAUUUCUGCUCUGCUAGAGGCAACAUUUUCUUUUUCAAGGGAAUCCU